UGAGGAGCGGCAGCCAGGAAAUGAGAUGGACGUUGAUGAAGAAUCCCCCAAUCUUGAUGCCAGUGGAAAUUGACAGUUUUGUCUGGCCAACGGUGGUCAGUACCAACUACACAUUAGGGAAGGCUGCUAUACCUAAAUACAACUUCUGACAUCACACAACAGAUGAAUGAGAUGAAUGAACAAAAACACUGAGCAGUAUUUGUGAGGCACCAGGAUAUCACUCUCAGGACAGACAGAAUUAAAUUCAAGAAUAUACGGCCAGACACAGAUAUAUUUUACCUCAAGAGGGGACUUAGAACCUUCCUGGUGAAAGUGAAGAUAUUCUAAAGAACCAGUUGUACCUCUUCAUUUGGCCAUCAGACUAUUGAAAAUAGACUCCAGGGAAUUGGAAUUUCCCAGGAAUCUCAUGCUGGGAGGUGGAGCCCACCAGAGAAGGAACUUGUCUCCUAGGAAGAGAUUUCACAGAGUUCUGCCAUCUUGUCAGACCACCUUGCAGAAGAGAUUGGUCCUGAAACACUGAUGAUUGCUCGGACCACACCUUGACCAUGACUGCUUAGAUAUGCAUACCCCUUGCCCUUUAUUUAAAUCUGUAUCUGUUUUGCCAAUUUUUUUCCCCUUUUCCUCCCUUCUUAGGAGACUCUCGCCUGUGCCCUCUGAGGCCCCCAGGGCUAACAAACCAACAUAAGACAUCCUAUUUGAAUUUUGCAUAGUUUCUAUGACAUUUGGGAGGAGGGUGACUUACAAAAACUCAGAUUCUUAUAGACUUUUCCUUUUCCAUGUCUGAAAUGCACGGGCCCCUCUCAGCCCCUGCCUGGUCUCUCUUGCUCCGUGUGCAUUCCACUUGCCCAAUAUGGCAUUGGCUCCACCCCCUAAUGGCUUGACCUUCAAAGAAACAGCUUCUCAUAACCCACGUGCCAUUCAAGCCCUGCCCUUAGUCUCCAUCAGCUUUCGUGUGCUGUGCUGCAGUCUGAGCACCUCAUCUUGCCAGGCGGAGCCCUUCACUGCUUCCCUGCCAGCCACACGCUUCACUCUGAGUUCCAAAAAAUGGCCGAGGCGCUACCCUUUUUCCAGGGUGCCCCUGCGUCACCCACUCUUUUUGGAGAAAUGAGUAAUUUUUGGGCUACAACACUUCAUGUCAGGGCCCUAUGAUGGACUUGGGGGGGUUGGGUCAUUGGACCUCUCUAUUCUUCGUCCCAAUGUAACCACAUUGACUAGAUCUCCUUUCUCUGCUUUUCACUAUUAUCUGUUUGUUUAAUUGGCUACUAAGGACAGGCAGCAAAGCCUGUGUCUUAUGGCUACUAGGACCCAGGCUUUGGUUCUAACAACUAUGUUAACAGUGUGAGCAAAGACAGCAUGCUGGAACCCAGCAACAUUAACUAUUUAUCACAACCUUAAUUUCUCACGGCUGCUUCAAAAACUUCCCUGUCCAUUACUCCAGGGGAUUCCAAAAACAUCCCAAGAAGUAAGUCAUAGACCAUCUCCAAUGAGUGACAAAAACAAGUCAUUAAAAUUGGUAGCAACAAAAUGGAAAGGAAUCCUCAUUUGCAGAUGCUAUACUCUGUCUGCCCAUUAUUCUACAAGGGCUUGUGCUAAUGGAAAAAAGGACCCCACAAAAAUUAUUCAAAUACCCAAAUCCUAUAAUUUCAUAGGUGGGAGAACUCUUUUUCUAAAAAUGUAUUUUAUGUGUAUGAAUGUACUGCCUGUAUGUAUGUAAGUGCACCUGUGUCAUACAAUG